UACGGUCCCUGACCAUCUCAUCCUUGUUUGCAUAAUCACAGUCUUUCACAAGCAGACGCAGCUCUGUCACAAACUGUUCAAAAGACUCGCUAGCUCCCUGUACUUUCUCAUGGAAUUUGUACCUAGCGAAUAUCGUAUUGGUCUUCGGCACAACAUAUAGCUUCAAAACGAUCGUAGUAUGUUUUCAGUACCUUUGAUUCAGCCUCGGUAAGUGUCCAUGUGUUGUAAAUAUCUCUCCCUUUUUCACCGAUCCAGAGGAGCAAGUAGCUGCAUUUUCCCUCUUCUCCUCUGUCCUCCAGAGGACCCGUGAACAUUAACUCCACAUGCUGUUUGAACUUACGCCAUGCAUCGGAAGUGACCACUCCACUAUGAUUGUCAACUCUCUCCUGACAUGAACUGAAGCCACGUCUCAUGUUCCCGCUCAUCCACUGUUACAUGUAAUGUUUCCUCUCCAAGCACUUCAACUCCUGUCCUGCACUGAAGUCAAGCCACUGAAGACCUCAAUUCAUGCCUCAUACUCUCAUUCAAUCACUGCUGUGAUCCCUUCCCAAAACGGUGUAUGUAGCCCUCUCUUUCUCAUUCCCCAUAAUAUUGUACUAUAAAUCUUUAUUAAAUGCUUUAGGUUAAAACAAUUACUCUGACGAUGUUUGAAACACGCUUUGACGUCUCUGUGUGUCUAUACCGUGGGCCUCCUCAGUUUUUCAAGUCACCAGCCUCCACUGAUCACAGUGCUAGCUGUGCCACUAGAGAUCCUGGUUCGAGUCCAGGCUGAGUC